rnacentral:misc_RNA from 1 species
GCGUUUCGUACGAUACAGGUAUAUCGAUUGUGUGUGUAGGGUGGCCGGCAUGGAUGAAGGCCAGCGAAGGCCGUAGAAUGCCAUACGAUUUUCGUAACGGAUAUUCGGAAAACUCGUUGUUGUUCAAAUACAUCGAACAAUGAUCACAGACGUGAGAUGAUGCCUGGGAUGCCGAAUAAUUCUCAUCAACUGGUUACUUCUAACGGUGGCUCUGAAUGGGAUUCCUUGAUGGAAGUUCAUCAUGAACCAAUAGAAAAAAAUUAUGAGUUAUUAGAAGAAAUUGGAAAGGGUCAAUUUGCCAUAGUACGAAAAUGUGUAGAGAUAAAAACUGGAGCAUUAUAUGCCGCCAAAAUUAUGAGAAAAAGGAGAGUUGCCAGAGGAGUAGCUGCUGCAGAUAUUGCUCGAGAAGCUGGUCUUUUGGCACGAUUAAGACAUCCUAAUAUUGUUUCAUUGCAUAAAGUGAUAGAUACAGGCACAACAGUUGUAUUACUUUUAGAGUUGAUUUCUGGAGGAGAAUUAUUUCAUUGGACACCAUCGGGUGAAGUAGAUGCUGCUCAUGUGGUACGUCAAGUUUUAAUGGCACUUAGUCAUUUACAUUCUCAUCAGGUGGCUCACUUAGAUAUCAAACCUGAAAAUAUUCUUCUUUCAUCUCCUCCUCCUAUGCCAAGCAUUAAAUUAAUAGACUUAGGUCUUUCGCAUCGUUUGGUUCCUGGUUCAGAACACAGAGCGUUGUUUGGUACUCCUGAAUUUGUAGCACCAGAAAUUGUUAAUUAUGAACCAUUAAGUCUUGGUACUGAUCUUUGGGCGGUUGGCGUUCUUACAUAUAUUCUUUUGAGUGGUGCAUCACCAUUUUUAGGAGAGGAUAAACAAGAGACGUAUGCAAAUGUAGCAGCCUGUCAAUAUCAAUUUGAUAAUGAAUACUUUAGUAAUGUAUCAGAAAUUGCUAAAGAUUUUAUAAGAUCCUUGUUGAUCAAGGAUCCAAAAGAAAGAGGAAGUGCAGAAUCGUGCCUUAAACAUCCUUGGAUCCUUACGGAAUCUGAAGCAUCUAACGGACUUGGUGGAGCUAUGAUCAGUGCUGUCAAGCGUGGUUGCGUUGAAGCUGUCUCUCAAUUAUUGUUGCAAGGAGCCCCAUUGAACAUGAAAGAUUCUAAAGAAGAUACACUUUUACAUUUAGCUUGUGAGGCUGGAGAUGAAGGAAUGGUUACAUUAUUAAUAGAAAGUGGAAUAGAUUUGGAUACGCCAAAUAAAAAAGGCCUAACGCCAUUACAUGUGGCUGCUAGGCAUGGUAAUAUCAAUGUUGUUAGACAUUUGUGCCUUGCUGGUUGUGACGUUGAUAAGACGAAUCGUGGAAUACGCGCUGAUGUUACAGCAAUUAAAUAUGGUUAUCCAGAUAUUGCAAAUCUAUUAGACAAGCUUCGAAUACCAAGUCAACGUGAAAAUUAUAUUAAACAAUUGCAACCAACGCAUAGGCCAAUUGAUCGUUUACAUAUAAGACUUUUGGGACAUUGUGCAUCAGGAAAAUCUUCUUUAAUUAGUUCCUUGAAAUCUGGAAUUUUUAGUUUCGGUUUUUUUCGGAGAUCUAGAAGCCAAAAUUAUUCAACGAAGAAUAACUUUAUUCAGCGAGAGCCAAGUAUCGAAUUAGAUGUGACUAGUAAACAUGGUUCUCUUAGUUUUGAAUACAGUGAUAGUGAAUAUGAAGGUACACAAGGUGUAGAAUGGAGUCGUGGAAAUGUAGGAGGAGAAUGCGUAUUUUGGGAAUUAUGUGGCCGAGAAGAAUACUUAGCAUCUUACCAUUAUGUACUUAUAUUUCAGCAACCAGCAGUUCACCUUAUUACAGUUAGUCUUCGAGAACCACUUACUGUUCAACUUCAGCAAAUUAAAUUUUGGCUACGUUUUAUUGUAGAUCGAAUUGCGCCAAACAAUAUUGGGUUUGCUGGCAAAUGCAGUGAUAUAAAAGUAAUUUUAGUGGGUACUUAUGCGCCAGAGCCUUUAGCACCAAAUUCCAGUGGUGGUAGUCUUCUCGCACCACUUUUACCUUUUUUGAAAGAUUUUACAUUAAUUUUGGGGGAUGAGCCUCAAAUGGUAGCGGUGGAUGCAACCAAUCCUUCUAGCCCUGGUUUGAAGCUGCUCAGAUCUUAUUUAAAUAAUGCAAGGAUGGAGUUUCUUGAGGAUGGACCGGAAGUUGCAGAAAGUUUUCUCCGACGUGACACGCCGCGUGAAGCGGCCAUGUACGUGCCCCUGGCGAAUCUUGAUAAACAGAGUGCUUUGGUAUGGACUGGUCUUGCUGAAUCAUGGAGGACAUAUGUACAAUCUUUGGAAGUACCUCCAGUAAUGCUUACACAGGAUGAAUUUUUGAAUGAAAUCAGAAAAAUCAAUCCAUUGGUUUGCUUAGAGCAUUCCAAACAACUUGGAUUACAAUUACAGAAUUUAGGAGAAUGUUUACUUCUUCCUGGCGACUUAAUAGUUCUUAGUCCAGAAUGGUUUUGGCAAGAUGUUAUCAAUUGGCAAUUAUGUCUUGAUCUACGAGGUCGCUUUGGGGGACGUACUACAGGAGUUUAUACUUUAGAAGAUUUUCAGGCACGAUGUCCUUGUCCUGCGAGUCAAGCUCUACAAGCUUUACAGGCGGUUAAUUUGUGUGUUCCGUGUGAAGUAGAUGAUGAUGAAGUGGAAUAUGAAUUACCUUGCUUGAAUCUGGUGGAACGUCUUCCUGGUUUAUGGGAGCCAUGGAAAUCAUCUACGAAUUCGUUGCCACAUGCCGGUCUUCGUCUUUGUCCAGCAGAGGCUCCUUUAUACCAUUUAUCUCCGAUAUUUCCGCACUUACAAGCUCAAUUGCGAAAAAUUACUCAAACUUGGGAUCCAUCAAAUUCGGAUUUAUAUCAAUGGUGGAGAGGCUCAAAACUGUGUGUGGGUCCUUGCGAAAGUAUCGUAACAUUUGAAGAGGAGGAACAAAGCUGUAUAGAAAUUCGAGUACGAGGACCUUGUGGGUCUAGUGCUCAAUGUUUUGGACUUUUUAGUGUUAUUUUGGAUGCUGUUAAUGCUACUGUUGACUUGGUAGCACCUGGAAUGCUACUUGAGAAGCACUGGCUUAGUCCAAGUCAGCUUCAAGAAUAUAGCGACGUAAUACAUUCUUGGGAACCUGCAACAAUAGUGUCUGCUUUAAUAGAUAAAAACUUGGAAGAAGCUAUACUUAAAAAUCCAAUUAACAAUCAAGAAGAAAGUAUUUGGGACAUUGUUGGUUGUGGGUUGCCCAUGAUGGAGAAUUGUCUUCCGGGUACAAGACAACCUCUUAAGAGUAUAAAACCUGCUGUAAAAAGAAGAUUAGCUGAGAUGCUGGAUCCACCUGAUCAUCAUGGGAGAGAUUGGUGUCUUCUUGCCGUUAGAUUGGGUUUAGGAGAUCGAGUUGCACAAUUGGACAGUACAGUGGACAGUCCGACGCUUAGGUUACUUAAUUGUGCAGGCAUGGAUUGUACUGUUAGUUCUCUUAUACAACAGUUACGUGCACUCGAUCGUGGAGAUGCUGUGCAUCUCUUGCUUUCUCACACGCCAGUGUAUAUUUUAUCAAUGGCUAUUGACUCUGAAACAGGGUCUAAUCUUUCUAGAUGACGAUGCUGCGCUUAUCGCCGAUGCAUCAAUACUUUCUAGAUUAAAAACCAAAUUUUUACAUACUGCAGCACUUGAAAUUGCCAAAGCAUCACUAUUUCCGCCCGUUAUAAAUGUUGUAUUAAUUAUCUGGAUUUAAGGAUGUACGCGAUUACAUCUUCAAUCAGUAAACUAUACUUUUUAAAGGUACAGAUAAAACGUUUGUCUUUAUACAACAUUCGUGUCAUGUUCAUUGCAUUGACAUAAAUAUAUAAUAGGUAUUAUAUGUAUUAUACAGUAUUGCUGUAGAUUAUUUAAAGAAAUCUUAUUUCUCUAAAUUGCAUUCUAACGCAUUAGUAUACAAAUUUUUCUGCAUCAUGUUAUCAUUCUUUACAAUGCUAUAAAAAAAGAAUCAGUCUUUUUGAAGGCAGGAAAACAAAUCAAUAUGCUACAUAUCUAGCCAAAAACAGAAGUACCAUUAUAAUACCCGGGAUAAUUAUAUCCAUGAAUAUUUCUAAAUGAUAUGCGUUAACAUCAAAAA